UACUAUACUGUGCUUAGUGCAUCUCAUUCAAUCUCGCCAACUACCCUGGGAGGUAGGUGUCACUGUCCCCAGUUUACAGGAGAGAAAAUUUCAAGUGCUAGGAGUCCAGCUCCAGCAGGCUGCUCUGGGCUUACCCUACAGACUGGAGGGUGGCCCUCUUCCAGAGGAGGAUCUAGGCAGCAGGGGGACGGAAUCAAACAGUGGGAGGGAAAUCUGGCCAGAAGUAGUCGAGGAGGCUGCCCCCCCACGCCCCCCCCCCCACGCCCCCACCUCACACCACCAUCCUCGCCCUCCUGCUUACACCUCCGGGAGACAGCCAGGUGUGGCCCAGGAAGGGCGGGGGGGGGGGGGGGGGGGGAGCGGUGGCGUCUGCGCUCCCUGGGCCCAGAGGGGACAGGAAGCGGGACACCGGGGAUUGUCUCUAGCAGCCACAGCCCAGCCUCGGCCCGGGAGGAAGUUCUGCCCGGCGCUCUCCGCUGGUGCCUCCCUCGCUGUAUUGUUGAGCAGGAAAGCGGGCUGCGCGGGAGCUGGGCGGUGGAGGAGGGAGCGCGGACGCCGAAACCACGCGCCCUGCGGGGACGAGUGGAGGCGAAGCCAACGGGGAAACUGAGGUUCAGGCAACUUUUUGGCAAGUGUGGUGUCGACUUACCGCCGCCAGUCAACCCCAUCUCUCUGAGUCAAGGCUUCCUUGGCUGCAAAGUUGGACCAGUAUUACCCACAACCUCCCCACCGGGGGAUUGAAUGCAGGCUCAAAUCUUAUCAGCAAUGCCACAGAAUCAGCGUUGGCAUAAUUACAUCAGCGACUGUGGGCAUGGGAACCUUCGAGAUUAUUUUAUCCGAGUGCCCCGUUUUGGAGAUACCAAGGCCCUAAGGCCCAGGAGGAACGCGGCUUCGGGACUCAACCAAGUCUCUUGUCCCCCUAGCGCGGCGCGCCUCCCGGCUGGGUGGCCCUGACCUCCGCGCCCCUCCUCCUCGUGCCCACAGGGAGACUCCGCGGCCGCGAUGGCGAUGGCGGCGGACGUCGAGGGGGACGUGUACGUGCUGGUGGAGCAUCCCUUCGAGUACACCGGCAAGGACGGGCGGCGCGUCGCCAUCCAGCCCAACGAGCGCUACCGGCUGCUGCGCCGGAGCACGGAGCACUGGUGGCACGUCCGGCGCGAGCCCGGCGGCCGCCCCUUCUACCUGCCGGCGCAGUACGUGCGCGAGCUGCCGGCGCUCGGGGACCCCGCCGCCUCCUCGCCGCCGCCCGCGCUCCGCCCGGGCCCCGCAGCCCCCGAACCGCUCGCCUACGACUACCGCUUCGUGAGCGCGCCGGCGCCCGCGGGCCCCGACGGCACGG
rnacentral:lncRNA from 1 species